AUCACUUCUUGGCCUUUUAGCUAAGAUCAAGCAUAGUAU
rnacentral:snRNA from 1 species